UACGUAGGGCGCAAGCGUUGUCCGGAAUUAUUGGGCGUAAAGAGCUUGUAGGCGGUCUGUCACGUCUGCCGUGAAAACCCGAGGCUUAACCUCGUGGCUUGCGGUGGAUACGGGCAGACUAGAGGUAGGUAGGGGAGAACGGAAUUCCCGGUGUAGCGGUGAAAUGCGCAGAUAUCGGGAGGAACACCGGUGGCGAAGGCGGUUCUCUGGGCCGAUACUGACGCUGAGGAGCGAAAGCGUGGGGAGCGAACAGG
rnacentral:rRNA from 1 species